UGAUCCUGGCUCAGAACGAACGCUGGCGGCAGGCCUAACACAUGCAAGUCGAGCGCGCCUUCGGGUGAGCGGCGGACGGGUGAGUAACGCGUGGGAACGUGCCCUUCUCUACGGAAUAGCCUCUGGAAACGGAGAGUAAUACCGUAUACGCCCUUUGGGGGAAAGAUUUAUCGGAGAAGGAUCGGCCCGCGUUAGAUUAGGUAGUUGGUGGGGUAAUGGCCUACCAAGCCUACGAUCUAUAGCUGGUUUUAGAGGAUGAUCAGCAACACUGGGACUGAGACACGGCCCAGACUCCUACGGGAGGCAGCAGUGGGGAAUCUCAGACAAUGGGGGCAACCCUGAUCUAGCCAUGCCGCGUGAGUGAUGAAGGCCUUAGGGUCGUAAAGCUCUUUCGCCUGUGAUGAUAAUGACAGUAGCAGGUAAAGAAACCCCGGCUAACUCCGUGCCAGCAGCCGCGGUAAUACGGAGGGGGUUAGCGUUGUUCGGAAUUACUGGGCGUAAAGCGCGCGUAGGCGGAUUAGAAAGUUGGGGGUGAAAUCCCGGGGCUCAACCUCGGAACUGCCUCCAAAACUGCUAGUCUAGAGUUCGAGAGAGGUGAGUGGAAUUCCGAGUGUAGAGGUGAAAUUCGUAGAUAUUCGGAGGAACACCAGUGGCGAAGGCGGCUCACUGGCUCGAUACUGACGCUGAGGUGCGAAAGUGUGGGGAGCAAACAGGAUUAGAUACCCUGGUAGU
rnacentral:rRNA from 1 species